rnacentral:rRNA from 1 species
CCUACGGGAGGCAGCAGUGAGGAAUAUUGGUCAAUGGGCGCGAGCCUGAACCAGCCAAGUAGCGUGAAGGAUGACUGCCCUACGGGUUGUAAACUUCUUUUAUAUAGGAAUAAAGUGAGGCACGUGUGCCUUUUUGUAUGUACUUUAUGAAUAAGGAUCGGCUAACUCCGUGCCAGCAGCCGCGGUAAUACGGAGGAUCCGAGCGUUAUCCGGAUUUAUUGGGUUUAAAGGGAGCGUAGAUGGGUUGUUAAGUCAGUUGUGAAAGUUUGCGGCUCAACCGUAAAAUUGCAUUUGAUACUGGCAGCCUUGAGUACAGUAGAGGUAGGCGGAAUUCGUGGUGUAGCGGUGAAAUGCUUAGAUAUCACGAAGAACUCCGAUUGCGAAGGCAGCUUACUAGACUGCCACUGACACUGAUGCUCGAAAGUGUGGGUAUCAAACAGGAUUAGAUACCCUGGUAGUC